rnacentral:misc_RNA from 1 species
AACACUGUUAACCUGCGGUACCUGCGGAAGGAUCAUUACAGAGUGUUUAACCCCCUAUAAAAUGGUGGGUCUAACCUCCCGUCCUUUGCUGGGUCCCCCCUCUGGAGGACUUUCAAAACUUUCUGCUUCGGCGGGGUAUACCCGCCGGAACACCCUCAAAAAAUUCUUGAUCAAAAUGGUUCGGUCCGAGAAACUUUUUGUGAAAAUUAGCGAAAAACUUUCAGCAACGGAUCUCAGAUC